ACUACAUGUACAGGAUAGGUGGGAGGCUUUGAAACCAGGACGCCAGUUUUGGCGGAGCCAUCCUUGGGAUACCACCCUUGUAGUACUGGGACUCUAACCAUAGGCCAUGAAUCUGGUCUUGGGACACUGUCAGGUGGGCAGUUUGACUGGGGCGGUCGCCUCCCAACAGGUAACGGAGGCGCUCAAAGGUUCUCUCAGUACGGUCGGAAAUCGUACGUAGAGGGUAAAGGCAAAAGAGAGCUUGAUUGCAAGACAUACAGG
rnacentral:rRNA from 1 species